AUUGAACGCUGGCGGCAUGCUUUACACAUGCAAGUCGAACGGCAGCGCGGGCUUCGGCCUGGCGGCGAGUGGCGAACGGGUGAGUAAUGCAUCGGAACGUGCCCAGUAGUGGGGGAUAGCCCGGCGAAAGCCGGGUUAAUACCGCAUACGACCUGAGGGUGAAAGCGGGGGACCCAAAGGCCUCGCGCUCUUGGAGCGGCCGAUGUCGGAUUAGCUAGUUGGUGGGGUAAAGGCUUACCAAGGCGACGAUCCGUAGCUGGUCUGAGAGGACGACCAGCCACACUGGGACUGAGACACGGCCCAGACUCCUACGGGAGGCAGCAGUGGGGAAUUUUGGACAAUGGGGGCAACCCUGAUCCAGCCAUGCCGCGUGCGGGAAGAAGGCCUUCGGGUUGUAAACCGCUUUUGUUCGGGAAGAAAUCCUCUGGGCUAAUACCCCGGGGGGAUGACGGUACCGGAAGAAUAAGCACCGGCUAACUACGUG
rnacentral:rRNA from 1 species